AGGUAUGUAUCCCCUCAAAAGAGCAAAAGUAGAAUUAGACUUUCACCAUUGUUAUCACCAUCAUCACCAUACACCAUUCAUUCGCCACACAUGCACAUCUUGAUUUGACUUAUUGACUUGUUUCUCUGGAUCCAUGGUUUGACUAUACAAUAAAUGUCUUAUAAGUAUGUAUACUUUAUCUCCCACCUAUGAGCUCCAGAUAUCAAAAGCCUUAUUAGAGUAGGGUGAGAGAGAAGGCUAUGUCACUAUGCCUUA
rnacentral:lncRNA from 1 species